ACCGUUCCCGCACACAAAUAAAGGCGGAGUGUAUUUUUUUUUCCCCGGAGAAUGGCGCAUGCACGGUCUCAGCUGGUUGUGUGCACAAAAUCUCGUCACAGAGUGUCGGAAAAAAUAAAUUACGGGUCGAGUUUCUUAAAAGUGCAAUGUGUACAAAAUAGCAAUCGAAAAAAAAAUUAGGUAGUGAAGUAUUGCGAUAAAAAACGAGCAAGUUUAAAAAACUGUGGAAAAAACAAAGUUGAUAAGUGUCGUAGGGAAGUGGGGAUUAAGGUGGGAUAAUUUACGAUACAAUGGAGUUGAAGAAAAAAUUGGGCACAACGAUUUACCGAGUUUGCUGUACUUAGCGAGCUUGUUCAUUCUUCUCUUUUCUCUCCAUUGUUUUCUGACAACUUUGAUGAACACAAAGCAUACAACUGCGAGCAGAAGCUCCAAACUUGUCGCUUGUUUUUCCCAUUGCUAGUCAUGGAGAAUAUACAUGACGAGGACAGGCACAGACGCCUGAGAGCACUGGAGGAAAAAAUCAAAGAUCCUCGCAGUGUCUCCAACAUUGAUAGUCUACUCGACACUGUCCAGGCUCUGGUUGCCGAUUGUGAUCAUCCCAGUGUUAAACGCAUGAAAAAUAUUGAAGCUUACAUGCACCGAUAUGAUUCAGUGUCUCAAGACAUUUGCAAACUGAGAAUGCGCACCGAUGAUUUCACCCUGAUCAAAGUGAUAGGUAGAGGGGCCUUCGGAGAGGUGCAGUUAGUCAGACACAAUUCAACCCAAAAAGUAUACGCGAUGAAGUUGCUCAGUAAAUUCGAGAUGAUAAAACGUUCGGACUCAGCUUUUUUCUGGGAAGAACGUGACAUCAUGGCCCAUGCCAAUUCGCAGUGGAUCGUCCAGUUGCACUUUGCGUUCCAAGACCACAAGUACCUUUAUAUGGUGAUGGAUUACAUGCCCGGCGGUGAUCUUGUUACCCUCAUGUCUAACUACGAUGUGCCAGAAAAAUGGGCAAAAUUUUAUUGCGCAGAAGUUGUACUCGCGCUGGAUGCGAUACAUCUCAUGGGCUUCGUUCACAGAGACGUCAAACCUGAUAACAUGCUUCUCGACAAACAUGGACACCUUAAAUUGGCUGAUUUUGGUACCUGCAUGAGAAUGGAUUCGGAUGGUUUGGUGCGAUCGGACACAGCAGUGGGUACGCCGGACUACAUAUCGCCGGAAGUUUUACAAUCGCAGGGCGGUGAGGGCGUUUACGGUCGAGAAUGCGAUUGGUGGUCGGUUGGAGUGUUUUUGUACGAGAUGUUAGUUGGAGAUCCGCCAUUUUACGCAGAUUCGUUGGUCGGGACGUAUUCGAAGAUAAUGGAUUACAGGAAUUCGUUGCAUUUCCCGCAGGAGGUCGACAUAUCUCACUCGGCGAAGAAUCUAAUAUGCGGUUUUUUAACCGACAGAACAUCGCGUUUGGGUCGCAACGGCGUGGAGGAAAUAAAGUCUCACGCGUUUUUCAAAAACGAUCAAUGGACUUUCGAUAAUUUGCGGGAGUGCGUGCCCCCGGUUGUGCCGGAAUUGUCGGGGGACGACGACACGAGCAACUUCGAGGACGUCGACAAAGAGGAUGGUCCGGAGGAGAGUUUUCCUGUGCCAAAAGCAUUCUCGGGCAACCAUUUGCCUUUCAUCGGUUUCACGUAUUCGGGAGAUUACAAAUUUUUGCUCACAAGUGGUAAAGAAACGGUCGACGGUUUAGAAAAUCACAUAAACAACGGCGUUGGCGAAGACUCCAAGCUCUCACAGUUGGAAAGCCUUUUGGAACGUGAGCGAGGCCAAGUCGAAGCUCUGGAAACUCGGCAUCGCGCCCUCGUCGCUCAACUCGAAGUGGUUACGAGGCGCGAAACAGAAGUUCGGGAAGAGGCCGCUCGUGCCGACAAAGAAUUGACGAUUCUUCGUCACAAUUACCGGGAAGUUCAGCGUCGCGUUGAACACGAAACGGAAGCUCGUAAAAAGUCCGAAGCCAUGCUGCUUGAACUGAAAAAACAAUUCGACGACGAACAAACGAGGCGAGCUCGCGACGCAUCGAAUUCCCAACAGAGCUCCGAGAGAGUUUUAACUUUGGAAAAACAAAUAAAAGAAAUGCAGAGCAAACUCGAGAGGGAAACCGAAUCCGCUUCCCGGAUGAGGAAACAGGCCACUGAAGUUACCGUCGCUAGACAGACUGCCCAACAAAUGGCCAACGAAUUACAAGCUGCCCGAUCGCUUCUUCAAGCUCAGACCGAUUCGCUCCAACAGGAAGUCGCCAGUUUACAAGGUCAACUGUCAAAAGAGCGGAGUUCCCGCAGUCAAGCCUCAUCCUUAACAGCCGAGCUCGAGUCGCGGUUGUCCUCGUUGUACACCGAGCUCGAGCGUAGUCGAGAAAAAGAGGAAAAAGCGACCCUCGACAAUCGACUAUUGAACGAGAGAGUUUCGGCCCUCGAAAAAGAAGCCGCCAGCUUAACCCUCGAACUUAAAGCUGCGCAAGCGAGAUACAACCAGGAAGUAGCAGCCCAUCAGGAAACCGAAAGAUCGAGAAUCCUCUCGAAAGAGGAGGCCAACAUGGAAGUCGUCAAAGGAAGAAUUGAUAGAGUAAUCAAAGCCAAAUUGAACGAGGAGAAGAGCGGAAGGCAGCGUGCAGAAUUAUUGGCUCAAGAAAAAGAGCGUCAAACGUCGAUGCUCUCGGUCGACUAUCGUCAAAUACAGCAGCGUCUGCAGAAGCUCGAGGGCGAGCACAGACAAGAAGUUGAAAAGGUCAAAGCUCUCCAAGGCCAAGUUGAACAAGAGCAACAAAAGCGUAACGUAUUGCAAUCGGAAUUGGCCCAACAAUCCUCCGAAGCUGGAAGAUUGAGGGCCAGGGAACAUCAACUAGUCGGUGAAGUUGGCCAAUUGCGCGAAGCUAAACGACAAAUUGACGAAGAACUUGCCAAUAUGAAAACACAACGGAACGUCGAUUUGUUACAAACUAAAGAACUGCAGGAGCAGCUCGAAGCUGAAGCUUAUUUUUCGACUCUGUACAAAACGCAAACUCAGGAGUUGAGAGAAGAAUUGGACGAGAAAACGCGAUUGCAGCAGGAGUUGGUCGAAGAGAGGAGUUCGUUGGUGCACCAGCUGCAGUUGUCAUUGGCGCGGGGUGACAGCGAAGCACUAGCGCGUUCGAUAGCGGAAGAGACGGUGGCGGAUUUGGAGAAGGAGCGUACGAUGAAAGAAUUGGAGUACAAGGACGGAGUGGCGAAGCACCAUCAGGAAUUGAGUGCGAAAGAGCAAAUGAUGAAUCGUUUGAAGGACACGGAAGCUGAGCUUAAGAAGAGUCUGGAGCAGUGCGUCAAGGAGAAGGACGACGCGAAUAAGCGGGUCCAGGAACUGCAGGAUAAACUGAACAAGGCGCAGUCGAACGCUGAGGAGAUUGAAAAAUUGAGCAGAAAAUUGAAGACCGAACAGUUGCUCAAGGAACAGGCGAUCAGCAAAUUGUCACAAAUAUUGAAUCGCAAGGACAUCACUUUUGGUGGCAAAACGAAAAAUAAAACUUCCUCGGCUGACUUGAGAAAAAAAGAAAAAGACUGUCGACGCUUGCAACAGGAGCUCACUCACGAGAAAGAAAAAUACGGACAGCUCACUGCCAAGUGGCAAAAAGAUUUGCAAGAUCUGCAAUCUCAGCUCGUGGAGGAAAAUCAAUCGAAAUUGAGGCUUCAGAUGGAAUUGGAUUCGAAGGAUUCGGAGAUCGAGACGUUGCAGAUGAAAAUAUCGUCGAUGAAUUCGGAAACGGCGAGUGUAUCGUCGGUUGAAAAUGACGGUGAAGACUCGGUCUUGUCCGAGCACGGUGCCAUGAGACUCGAGGGUUGGCUCAACGUUCCUAACAAACAAAAUAUCAAGAGACACGGCUGGAAAAAGCAAUACGUUGUUGUCUCGUCGAAAAAAAUUAUUUUUUACAACAGCGAGAACGACAAGCUCAAUGCUGAUCCUGUACUUAUUUUGGAUCUGAGUAAAGUCUUUCACGUUAGAUCGGUCACACAGGGGGACGUUAUACGAGUUGACGCCAAAGAUAUUCCUAGGAUAUUUCAGUUACUGUACGCUGGCGAGGGUGAAGCGAGACGACCAGGGGACGAAGGAAACCCACUUCCAGGUGUUGAAUUACCCCAAUUGACCGACAAGCCCGGUACACAACCGCUCAAAGGCCACGAAUUUAUUUCUAUAUCCUAUCACAUGCCAACUACUUGCGAGGUUUGCUCCAAACAACUGUGGCACAUGUUUCGACCGCCCCCUGCUCUCGAAUGUCGAAGAUGCCGAAUAAAGGUGCACAAGGAGCAUCUUGACAAGAAAGAGGAUGCCAUAGCUCCGUGCAAGCUCCAUUACGAUCCAAACAGCGCUCGUGAAUUAUUAUUACUAGCAGGAAGUCCGGACGACCAAAAAUAUUGGGUAACGCGAUUGUCCCGGCGCAUACAAAAGUGCGGCUACAAGGCUAAUUCUCACGUUGAUGGAAGCGGUCAACGAGUCUCGCCAAGGUAGCGUAGUCGGAAGAGCACAAACUACGAGGACUAAGCAAAAUUAGUUUCUCUUGUUUUGUGACGUCGCAUGAUUGGGUUUUAUAGAGAGAGAAUCUACGAGAUCGACGCUGAAGCCAUACUUGACUGCCCAGCAGAGAUCGGCGACGUUGCCGGCGAACGCGAGCAUGGGAAACUGAGCCGGGAAAUGCGAAGAAUUUUUUGUUUUUGUUUUUGUUUUUUUUUUUUUUUUUUAAAUCGGAAAAAUAUGAAUUUGGCCCGGUGGUUGAAAAACUGAGUAUUUUGUUCGGAUGGACAAAAAUGGGGAGAAAUUAUUGCAGUCGAAAGUUUUGGAUCCUUAACGGGGAAUGAUUUAUCGCGAGGAUAAACAAAACCGUUGGACGAAUCAAAAGGAAUGAAGGAUUGAAGUACACGAAAAAUAUUCGAUGAUGUUACUAAAGCCAGAAAUAUUAAUGGGUGAUAAACGAAGAGCACGCAUAUACACACGUCGGGACGAGAGAAGAAAAGAAAAUUGAAAAAACUUGAGAAAACAAUCGAGCCAUCGACGAAACGUUUUUUGUCCUGCCAUUGUCGCUAAUCAUGUUUUAAAAUGGAGGAAAAGAGUGGUUAAAACUCUGCUGUAAUUGAGGCGAUUCUCAGUCUUAUUUUUAAUCGAAAAAGCUAAUAAAACCUCGCGGAUCUUGGUGCGAAAGGCACGAAGAAAUGGUCGAUCGAAGAAACGACGUAGGAAUCUCAUGGAAGAUCGUGUGAAUGUGAAUAAAAGCGUGCGUGGGUGUGUGUGUACCUUGAUAAAAGGAGAGAAACAAAAAGGAAGAAAAAAAGGGGGACGCGGAUCGAUAGUAUUAUUAUUUUUAUAUAUUUUGGAAGAAAUGUAGAGUAAUUGAGAUAAAAGAAUCGCGUUCGGGGAAUAUGGAACGCAAAAAUUCCGCGAAUCACUUGUUGGUUUUUGUUUUUCUUCGUUUUAACACGAGAAUAUAAAGAAAAUUUAAAGAAAUUGGUUGGAAGGGGGAGGGGGGCUGAGCGUCGAAGCUUUAGCUCCCACCUCGUUCUCGAGCUUCGUUGUAUAAUAGUAGAAAAUACGAAUGGUAGAGACUCGGAAAAACGAUAACUUUUUACAAUUUGUUCAAAGUUGUAUAAACGCUGGAGAGCCAUGAGUGAGGUGAGACGAUUUGUUGAGGGGCACAGAAAAAUAGAACAAAAAGGGGGGCUGUCGAAGGGAAUUUUUACGAGGGUUCUUCAGGGCUUCGAAUUAAUGAUUAACAACAAUUAUUCAAUUAAUUAUUUUGCCUCUUUUAUUAUUUUUGUUUCUUGCAUUCGCUACUCUGAAUCUAUCGAACGGGAGCAGCUCGUGUCUUUUGCACGAUAAUCAAAGCUGGUGCUUGAAGAAAUAUUUAAAAAAACUGCCUUCGCUGAAGAGCCUCGAAAAAGGAAAAAUCGUGAAUUUUCCUCUCUCCGAAUUCACCGUUUUUCUCCUUAACAUUUUUUGGACUUUGUCAGUAUGCGUGUGUGUGUGUGUGAUAUGUGUGCGUGAACGUGCGUGGACAAUCGGCACUCGACUAACGCACGAUCAUCCCCAACGUGCCUUUUUUUCCACCCUGCCUCUCUGUACAAUAAAUAAAAAAUCAUGAGAAUACGAAAAUUGAGUGAAUUGUGUCGCGGGCAAGAGCAAAGUUUGCUGCAGCGAACAUUUUCGUAAAAAAAAAAAAAAACAAUAUUCAACGGUCAAACUAAAGAAACGAUUAUGGAUCCAUUUACGAAGAUACAAAAUUGAUGAAACAAACAAAUCCACAAACUUGUUACACCAUAUUUUAUUAUUAUUGUUUAGUUAGUAUUUACAAUCUGUAUAUUAUUAAUUAAAAUUACGAUUAAAACCUAUUUUGUAGAUAAUAUGCAAA